rnacentral:rRNA from 1 species
GACGAACGCUGGCGGCGUGCUUAACACAUGCAAGUCGAACGGAAAGGCCCUGCUUUUGUGGGGUGCUCGAGUGGCGAACGGGUGAGUAACACGUGAGUAACCUGCCCUUGACUUUGGGAUAACUUCAGGAAACUGGGGCUAAUACCGGAUAGGAUCUCCUGCUGCAUGGUGGGGGUUGGAAAGUUUCGGCGGUUGGGGAUGGACUCGCGGCUUAUCAGCUUGUUGGUGGGGUAGUGGCUUACCAAGGCUUUGACGGGUAGCCGGCCUGAGAGGGUGACCGGCCACAUUGGGACUGAGAUACGGCCCAGACUGCUACGGGAGGCAGCAGUGGGGAAUAUUGCACAAUGGGCGGAAGCCUGAUGCAGAAACGCCGCGUGCGGGAUGACGGCCUUCGGGUUGUAAACCGCUUUCGCCUGUGACGAAGCGCGAGUGACGGUAAUGGGUAAAGAAGCACCGGCUAACUACGUG